GUAUAACUUUCUCCGACUUUUUAGGACGUGUUUUAUGCCACUUCUUUUUCCGUCUCAUUUUGUCCACCAAACCUUUAACGUUGUGCGUGAAUACACAAAGCCGUUUUCUCUGCAGCCCUCUUCUGACGCUGAGGACCCUUUCCGAAGAAGAUGUAGUUGACCAGCGCGUACUCCAGGAGGGCCAGAAACACAAAGACGAAGCAUCCCAUGAGACUCAUCACCUGUGGAGAAGACAACGUUCUUGGAGAUGAGCUUGUGAUCCACAAUGGAGAACUGUGGCAGUUCAAUCCUGUCCACCCCCGUCACAGCGUUGUUGCCGCCCCGCCAGUAGAACUCGAUGUCGUCUGUCGUAUAACCAUCUGAGAAAGGGUACAAAGGUGAAGAAUGUCUCAUCCUUACAAGGAAACGUGGGGGCGUCUUUAUGUGUUGUUCUGGCCAUUUCCUGGUCCUACAUGGCUGUCAAAGUGUACCAACUUGUCGGAAUACCUACUCAGACUUCUUCUGUCCAGGCCAAAACCCCGACCUUCGUGUCACCACGCAAGGCGAGAGGAACACGUGGACACAGCCGCCAGUGGACACGGCAAAGAAGAGGACAACUGCAAUGUGGUGUCCAUGCCAAAAGCUGCAGGGCGUUGUUGAACUGCUUAAACGUGCAUCAUUCACUGUCACGGGAACAAGUGACUCAGACACCUCACUGAGUUGCCAGGCCACCUGUCCAGGGUUGAAUAUCUAACAUGACAUUGGCAAUCAGAGUGUGUGUCUCUCUUUGUAUGUGCACCACUAAGUCAUGCACAGUGAACUCAGAGCAGCACGAGGUGCAUGACCUUCCCCACAACACUGGCACCACUCUUGGCUUUUCUGCAUGCCUCUGACACCAACCACUGACCUCAUCGUUCUACGUGUGGACGACGAGAAGCAUUUCAAGCGUUUUUUUUCCACACACUUUCGGCUAAUUUAUCAAUGCUGUACUUUGAGGCGAGGAAGAGGGGGCGCCACCUGCUACCGCUGCAAGGUCGUUAUGUCCUUCAGGCAGCAGAUUGUUGGCCAAGUCUUCGCCCAC